CUCUCUCUCUCUCUCUCUCUCUCUCUCUCUCUCUUAAUAAAUACUUAUGCCUAUUUUUGUGUCUAUGUGUCUGUUACCCACCACCACCGCCUGCGCGGCGCGUGCCCUCCCGCUGGUGGGAAACUAUAGCCGCUUGUCACAUGGUGGGCUCCACCAGCCCGCCCCGGGGAUCUUACAACCGUCUCUUCGGGGCUAGCAGCUGCACCGCAAACAUCUUAGAAACAUCUUAGGAAUAAGAUUGGUGCCACGUGACUCCCUAAUUGCUUCAAUUGGCGCUUCCAUCGGGUUUCUCUGUGGCUUUGGAGCCUGUCCUGGAACUAGCUCUGUAGACCAGGCUGGUCUCGAACUCACAGAUAUCCGCCUGCCUCUGCCUCCCAAGUGCUGGGAUUAAAGGCGUGCGCCACCACCGCCCGGCAAUAUUUAAAAACUUUUCGUAACAAAAGAGACAGGUUGGCUCCUAGCAGCACACUCUUUAUUUCCUCCAAAGAAGACAGAAGACAAAUGGACACACAGAACAACGUCCUUCUGCGGCUCACUUUGACUGCCGAGUGCUGACCAUUGGGCAAAACUGCCUUUCAUCUAAACUAAAGACCUCUAGACGUGGACGGAAUCACUGGAAUUGACAGCCUAGCUGCUCAGGUCAAGGUAGGCCUGUCUUCCUACAGAUUUCUUAGCCCACAGAAUCUUCUGGAGCCUGGCAGGCCCUGCGCUAAACAGCAAAGCUCAAGUGCAACCUUCAGAGACCAUGGAGGACCCAAAAAAAGAGUAGCUCUGGGUGCCAACCAUGUAAGGUCUCUGUCAUUUUUUAAUCAGUAACUCAAGUAAAAUCUUAUAAUUCUCAAAGAUCUCUGACAGUUUGAUAGCUGAGGGGUUUUCAAAGAUUACCUCACCAAACAAAUUUUAAAUCAAAUUUCUCUCCUAUACUGCUUUCCAUGUGUCUAAAACUUCUGUUUUUACAAACCCAAGGAGUUCUCGUGAGUUCCAGGGAGCCGAAUUAAAAAAAUCCAUCUUAAACAGGUCAGAUACCGGGCUGGAGAGAUGGCUCAGAGGUUAAGAGCACUGACUGCUCUUCCAGAGGUCCUGAGUUCAAUUCCCAGCAACCACAUGGUGGCUCACAGCCAUCUGUAAUGAGAUCUGGUGCCCUCUUCUGGCAUGCAGGCAUACAUCGAGGCAGAAUGUUGUAUACAUAAUAAAUAAAUAAAUCUUUA